CCUACGGGAGGCUGCAGUGAGGAAUAUUGGUCAAUGGGCGCGAGCCUGAACCAGCCAAGUCGCGUGAGGGAAGACGGUCCUAUGGACUGUAAACCUCUUUUGUCGGGGAGCACAAGACGCCACGUGUGGCGUUCCGAGAGUACCCGAAGAAAAAGCAUCGGCUAACCCCGCUCCAGCAGCCCCGGUAAUACGGAGGAUGCGAGCGUUAUCCGGAUUUAUUGGGGUUAAAGGGUGCGCAGGCGGAAGAUCAAGUCAGCGGUAAAAUUGAGAGGCUCAACCUCUUCGAGCCGUUGAAACUGGUUAUCUUGAGUGAGCGAGAAGUAAGGGGAAUGCGUGGUGUAGCAGUGAAAUGCAUAGAUAUCUCGCAGAACUCCGGUUGCGAAGGCGGCAUACCGGCGCUCAACUGACGCUCAUGCACGAAAGUGUGGGUAUCGAACAGGAUUAGAUACCCUUGUAGUC
rnacentral:rRNA from 1 species